CCUACGGGGAGCAGCAGUAGGGAAUCUUCCACAAUGGGCGAAAGCCUGAUGGAGCAACGCCGCGUGGGUGAAGAAGGUCUUCGGAUCGUAAAACCCUGUUGUUAGAGAAGAAAGUGCGUGAGAGUAACUGUUUACGUUUCGACGGUAUGUAAACAGAAAGCCACGGCUAACUACGGGCCAGCAGCCGCGGUAAUACGUAGGUGGCAAGCUUUAUCCGGAUUUAUUGGGCGUAAAGGGAACGCAGGCGGUCUUUUAAGUCUGAUGUGAAGGGCUUCGGCUUAACCGGAGUAGUGCAUGUGAUACUGGGUGACUUGAGUGCAGAAGAGGAGAGUGGAACUCCAUGUGUAGCGGUGAAAUGCGUAGAUAUAUGGAAGAACACCAGUGGCGAAAGCGGCUCUCUGGUCUGUAACUGACGCUGAGGUUCGAAAGCGUGGGUAGCAAACAGGAUUAGAUACCCCAGUAGUC
rnacentral:rRNA from 1 species